CCUAUUGUCAUUGAUUAUCCAUCAUCCUUCGAAGUUAGACGUGUUUGAGCCUUCGUUGCCGUUUAAAUCUCGCAACGCACCCGACAUAAAUGUCCCAUCGAUAAGACACAGUAGGAAGUUUCCGAUAACAAUACAGUAAUCAAUCCUACGAGCGAGGAACACAUCGAAUGCUAUAAUUAAUACAUUUCACGUUAAUUAUGGUAUUGAACCUGAAUCAAAAGCCGUUAACUAGCAAUCACUAGGAGUUUCAAUACUGUGUAACCAAUCGUUAACAAAUAAAUUAAUUCGUUGCACAUCAUGGAUAUCGGCGAACAUAUGGAAAGCUAUAAAAUAUUAUGGGAUUAUUUGAAAACCGAAUAUCCGGAGCUUUGUCAAGUAAUCUUGUAUACGUUAAAAGACGUUUUUGAAUCCGGAAUAAUCCCGGAAGGUACAACGGUGUUAGAAUCAUUACGUACGAUAGUUAGUGCGAAACGACUUUCAAUCAGUAACAGUCAACGUCGUCAAAAGAAAAAAUUGACCGAAGAAAAAUAUACACAAACUGAAGAAUAUCCUCAAGGUCGUAUUGUUCACGUUAAAUCGACACUCUCUUGUCUUCAUCGCUCUGAUUCUUCGGCCAAUGUACAUUAUAUUUGUCCGCGGUGUGCAAAAAUUUGGUCGGAGAGACGUUUGUAGUUUUAUUAAAAAAAUUAAAAAAAAAAAAAAA